GAUGAACGCUGGCGGCGUGCCUAAUACAUGCAAGUCGAGCGAACGGACUAGAAGCUUGCUUCUCUGAUGUUAGCGGCGGACGGGUGAGUAACACGUGGAUAACCUACCUCUCAGACUGGGAUAACUUCGGGAAACCGGAGCUUAUCCCGGAUAAUCUUUUGAACCGCAUUGUUCAAAAGUGAAAGACGGUCUUGCUGUCACUUAUAGAUGUAUCCGCGCUGCAUUAGCUAGUUGGUAAGGUAACGGCUUACCAAGGCAACGAUGCAUAGCCGACCUGAGAGGGUGAUAGGCCACACUGGAACGGAGACACGGUCCAGACUCCUACGGGAGGCAGCAGUAGGGAAUCUUCCGCAAUGGGCGAAAGCCUGACGGAGCAACGCCGCGUGAGUGAUGAAGGUCUUCGGAUCGUAAAACUCUGUUAUUAGGGAAGAACAUAUGUGUAAGUAACUGUGCACAUCUUGACGGUACAUAAUCAGAAAGCCACGGCUAACUACGUG
rnacentral:rRNA from 1 species